GAUGAACGCUGGCGGCGUGCUUAACACAUGCAAGUCGAACGAAGCACUUUACCGGAUUUCUUCGGAAUGAAAGUUUUGUGACUGAGUGGCGGACGGGUGAGUAACGCGUGGGUAACCUGCCUCAUACAGGGGGAUAACAGUUAGAAAUGACUGCUAAUACCGCAUAAGACCACAGGACCGCAUGGUCCGGUGGUAAAAACUCCGGUGGUAUGAGAUGGACCCGCGUCUGAUUAGCUAGUUGGUAAGGUAACGGCUUACCAAGGCGACGAUCAGUAGCCGACCUGAGAGGGUGACCGGCCACAUUGGGACUGAGACACGGCCCAAACUCCUACGGGAGGCAGCAGUGGGGAAUAUUGCACAAUGGGGGAAACCCUGAUGCAGCGACGCCGCGUGAGCGAUGAAGUAUUUCGGUAUGUAAAGCUCUAUCAGCAGGGAAGAAUUAGGACGGUACCUGACUAAGAAGCACCGGCUAAAUACGUGCCAGCAGCCGCGGUAAUACGUAUGGUGCAAGCGUUAUCCGGAUUUACUGGGUGUAAAGGGAGCGUAGACGGAGAGGCAAGUCUGAUGUGAAAACCCGGGGCUCAACCCCGGGACUGCAUUGGAAACUGUUUUUCUAGAGUGUCGGAGAGGUAAGUGGAAUUCCUAGUGUAGCGGUGAAAUGCGUAGAUAUUAGGAGGAACACCAGUGGCGAAGGCGGCUUACUGGACGAUGACUGACGUUGAGGCUCGAAAGCGUGGGGAGCAAACAGGAUUAGAUACCCUGGUAGUCCACGCCGUAAACGAUGACUGCUAGGUGUCGGGAGGCAAAGCCUUUCGGUGCCGCAGCAAACGCAAUAAGCAGUCCACCUGGGGAGUACGUUCGCAAAAAUGAAACUCAAAGGAAUUGACGGGGACCCGCACAAGCGGUGGAGCAUGUGGUUUAAUUCGAGGCAACGCGAAGAACCUUACCUGCCCUUGACAUCCGGCUGACCGGCGAGUAAUGUCGCCUUUCCUUCGGGACAGUCGAGACAGGUGGUGCAUGGUUGUCGUCAGCUCGUGUCGUGAGAUGUUGGGUUAAGUCCCGCAACGAGCGCAACCCUUAUCUUUAGUAGCCAGCAUUACGGAUGGGCACUCUAGAGAGACUGCCAGGGAUAACCUGGAGGAAGGUGGGGAGGACGUCAAAUCAUCAUGCCCCCUAUGGGCAGGGCUACACACGUGCUACAAUGGCGUAAACAAAGGGAGGCAGACCUGCGAGGGUGAGCAAAUCCCAAAAAUAACGUCUCAGUUCGGAUUGUAGUCUGCAACUCGACUACAUGAAGCUGGAAUCGCUAGUAAUCGCGAAUCAGAAUGUCGCGGUGAAUAAAAUCCCGGGUCUUGCACA
rnacentral:rRNA from 1 species